UCGAACCUGCAAUCUCAUGGUUCCUAGUCAGAUUCGUUAACCACUGAGCCAUGACGGGAACUCUGGGAACUCCUUUAUUUAUUUAUUUAUUUAAUUUAUUUUAUUUUAUUCUUUUUAGGGCUGCACUUGUGGCAUAUGGAAGUUCCCAAGCUAGGGGUUGAAUCGGAGCUGCACCAGCUGGCCUAUCCCACAGCCAUAGCAAUGCAGGAUCCAAGCUGCCUCUAUAAACUGCAGCACAGCUCAUGGCAACACCAGAUCCUUAACCCACUGAGCUGGGCCGGGGAUUGAACCCUUAUCCUCAUGGAUACUAGUCAGAUUUGUAACCACUGAGACACAAUGGGAACUCCGUGCAGUGUUGGUUUGUUUUUUUACUUAUUUGUUUUUUUGUGUGUGUCUUUUUAGGGCCACAUCCGCAGCACAUGGAAGUUCCCAGGCUAGGGGUCAAAUCAUAGCUGAACCUGCCAGCCUACAGCACAGCCACAGCAAGCAGGAUCUGAGCCUCGUCUGUGACCUACACCAACAGCUCAUGGUAACGCUGAAUUCUUAAGCCGCUGAGCGAGGGCCAGGGAUCAAACCUGCGUCCUCAUGGAUACUAGUCGGUUUUGUUACCAAGGAGCCACAGCGGGAACUCCCCUGCAGUGGUUUUUUAAAAAUUUUGUUUGCUUUUUUUUCCCCUUUUUAGCGCCUCACUCGUGGCACAUGGAAGUUCCCAGGCUAGGGGUCAAAUCGGAGCUACAGCUGCCGGCCUGCCCCACAGCCAAAGCCACAGCAACGCCAGAUGCUUAGCUCAUUGAGCGAGGCCAGGGAUGGAACCCGCAACCUCAUGGUUCCUAGUCGGGUUUGUUUCCCCUGCGCCCCGGACGGGAACUCCCUCAGAACAAUUUAAUUACCCCAAAGAGUUUCCUUGUGCCAGUUUACAGUUAAUUGCUGAUUCUGCCCUUCGUCAAGCACCAGUAAACUUUUAGCUUCUAUAUAUUUACCUUUUCUCGACAUUUCACGGAGUCAUACAACAUGUGGCUCUGGGUCUGACUCUUUUCUUUUGGCAUAUUUUCAAAGCUCAUCCUUGUACCGUGUCAUCAGUACUUCAGUCCUUUUUACUGCUGAAUAGUGUUCCAUUGCACCGAUAUGGGACCUGCACCACAUAGGGUUUAUCCUUUCAUCUGGUAAGCAGCUGUGUGCAUAAAAACCUGAUGUGAUUUACUUGGCUGGUGCAUUUUUAUUACUUAUUUAUUUGUGUUUUUGUCUUUUUAGGGCCACACCCAUGACAUAUGGAAGUUCCCAGGCUAGGGAUCUAACUGAAGCUACAGCUGCCGGCCUACACCACAGCCAUAGCAACACAGGAUCCGAGCCUUAUUCCUAGUUGGAUUCGUUUCCGCUGGGCCAGGAUGGGAACCCCGGCUGGUACGUUUUUAAAAAAUUAAAACUUUUGGAGUUCCUGUUGUGGCUCAGCAGAAGUGAAUCUGACUAAUACACAUGAAGAUGCGGGUUCCACCCCUGGCCUCCCUCAGUGGGUUAAGGCUCUGAUGUUGCCGUGAGCUGUGGUGUAGGUCACAAAUGUGGCUCAGAUCCUGCGUUGCUAUGCCUGUGGUGUAGGCCAGUGGCUGUAGCGCUGAUUCGACCCCUAGCCUAGUAACUUCCAUAUGUCC
rnacentral:lncRNA from 1 species